CAGUACGACCCUUUCCAAGUUUCCAAGCAAUUGGUGUUGUAAGCGGAUUAUAUCGUAACGCUUAAACGGUUAGUUUUGAAACAAAAAAGAGAAAAACGCUUCAAGAAACUAAGUACAGAUGCUGUUUAAGAUCAAUAUUGUUUUGUGUACAAUAAAUUAAAAAAAAAAAUAUAUGAGGAAUAAAAUAUUCUUAUUCUUAUUAAUAUUGUUGAAAGUCAACUGAUAUACUGGAUGAUUUAAUAACGUUUUGACGUCAAUUUUUUUUUUUAUUAUUAUUACACCAUUGGAUUAUAUGUCAUGUACUUAUUGUGAGACGAAAUGGCUUCCAGCAACCGCAACAAUAACAACAGUACCUACAAAAGAAAAAGCAAUAAAAGAAGAAAACGAGGAUAUCACAAUAACAACAACAACAACAACAACAAAAAUAAUAAUAACCAAUUACACACCUUUGUAAAUGCCAACUCUUCCUACUGCACCACCAAUACCUCCUAUUCCAUCUCGCCGUUCAGUAACAACAACAAAACCAACAACAACAACAUUUUCGAUACGUCCACCGCCUGCAUCAAUAAAAGCGACAAUAGCAACAUUCGUUGCUAUUGUAUUAGCAGUUGGAGUUACUUGCCAUCACCAACAUCAUCGUCGUCAUUAUCAUCAUCAGUAUGCUGUGCGUCACAACACGUUACACGACACUUUUCCACCAUUCCAUUGCUGAGUUGGACAACGGCAUAUCGAAUAUUGACAAUCACACUACUAAUUGACAUUCUAAGUACGUCGCCAGUGCUGUGCGUAGAUCCCAAAUUCGAUCCGUCGACGCGUAUGCGUCUCGUUUUAGUGCCCUCCGAUGCUCAGGUCGGUUCAGUCAUUUAUCGACUGCGUGCCACUGACGAAGAAUUUGACUAUCCGUUAACCUUUGAGCUAGUAGGCGAUACUUCAUCGUCUACGAUUAAUAUUGAGUCUCUUCCAUGUACCAAAUACAAUUCAGUCUGCCAAGCGAACGUUAUAUUGCAACGUCGUUUAGAGCCGGGUCGCUAUUAUGAUUUUCAAGUAUCGGUUAAGGAUACAAAAGGAGGUAUGGCCACCCAAUUAUGUUCGAUAACAGCAACUAAUUUUACAACACCGCACGACCUCAUCUUUCCGCACAAGCCAGGCAUCAUUAUGAUACCAGAGGACGCUAAACGUGGCACGGAGCUCGAUUACGUAAUUGCGAGAAAAAAUCCGCUCUUUCCGAAACCAGUCUACCUCGAACUAUGGGGUUCACCCCUAUUUGCCAUAAGACAAAAAAUUGUCUCUACAGAAACUACAGAGGGAACUCUUUUCCUACUGGGACCAUUAGAUUUUGAAAAACAAGCCAUGUAUCAUUUAACUAUUUUGGCGAAUGAUGCCUACGCGGAACCAGGCCAAGACAGUCGAAACGUUGCUGGUCUGGAAAUUGUUGUCAUUGUUCAAGAUGUGCAGGAUCAACCUCCCGUGUUUACAAUGGCUCCGCCGGUUACAAAAUUACCAGCCGGUAUACUUCCAGGUGAUAAGAUACUUCAAGUUCAUGCCGAAGACGGUGACAAGGGAAGUCCACGUGAAGUGCGCUAUGGUCUAGUAUCCGAGGGGAAUCCCUUCACUUCGUUUUUCGAUAUUAACGAUACCAGCGGCGAAAUCUUCCUAAUGCGACCUCUAGAGGAUAUCGCUGCAAUCACGCAUGUGGGCGAUCCCGUCUUGCUUACAGUAAUUGCGGAAGAGGUUAAGGUUGGUCGUGACGAACCACCAGCAAUGGCUUCCACCGUGCAAUUGGCAUUCUUUUUACCCGAGCGCACCAAUUCGCCGCCAUACUUCGAAAACGAUCAUUAUGUAUCCCGCGUCGAUGAAAAUGCUCCACAAGGAACUGCUCUCACAUUUGUCGACCCUUAUGUACCGCGUGUUUAUGAUGAUGAUACGGGCAAAAAUGGUGUGUUUUCUUUGACUUUGCUUAAUAACAACGGUACUUUUGAGAUUUCACCUAACGUAGCGGAACGCAGUGCUUCAUUUCUAAUACGCGUGCGAGACAACAUUUUAUUAGAUUACGAAGAACGUCACUCAGUAGAAUUUCAAAUAUUAGCACAAGAAUUGGGACCAGCCACAAAUUUAUCUGCCACCGUAAACGUCACUGUCUAUAUAAAUGACGUCAAUGACAAUCCACCCAUAUUCUCCCAGCCCGUGUAUACAGUCGAACUGCCAGAAAAUAUGACAAUGGGUACUAAAGUGGUACAGGUUCAUGCUGAUGAUGUUGACACUGGUCUGGGUGGUCGUGUCCGUUAUACCGCCAUUUUAGGCUAUUUAAAUACUUCUCUUAAUCUGAAUGCUGAGACUGGUCUGAUAACAGUAUCCACCGAUAAUCAUGGCUUUGAUCGUGAAGUGAUGCCCGAAUAUCAUUUGUAUGUGGAAGCUCGUGACAAUGAUGGUUCUGGAAAUCGAGCACAAGUACCAUUAGUCAUAAAACUUAUUGAUGUCAACGAUGAAGUGCCUACAUUCGAAAAAGAUUUAUACGAGUUUAUCUUGGCUGCCGAUUUGAAAAGUUUUACUACAGCGGCAGUAAUACAUGCUGUAGACAAAGAUGCGACUGCACCCAAUAACGAGGUGCGUUAUGAAAUUAUUAACGGUAACUACGAUAAUAAUUUCGCGUUAGAUAAAAUCACCGGUGAAUUAACUGUACGAGAAAAAGUAAAUUUUCGUACUAAAAAACAAAUUUCACAACAUAGACGUCGCAAACGGCAGAACCCUCCCAUUAAUGAGCCAAAUAUGUUUAUAUUAAUUGCAAGAGCGUAUGAUUUAGGUAUACCGGUACUCUCUAGCACCGCGACCAUACGUAUUUAUCCGCCAGAAAGUCGUACAAGAGCUGUAACAUUUUUGGUUCCUGGUCUUAAUCCAGACAAAAGUAAAACAGAAGAAACUUUAUCAACUAUUACCGGUGGUAAAGUGCUUAUACAUGAAAUCCGUUCUUUAAAACCCGAUGAACCUGGUGCUCAAAAUAUUCCUUCCGGCAAUAAUCUCGAUAUUAAAGACCGAAGUGUUGUAACAGCAACGGUUCUUUAUGAUAGCGCUUCCGUAGUUGAUAUUUCCCAAAUACAAGAACGUCUUUCGCAGCACAACAGCUCGUUUGCUAUAAUGAGCGGUCGUGAAAGCUUAUCGGAAACAGAUGAUUUAACUCCUUUGCAGACUCUUUAUAAGGCUGAAAAUAAAUUAUUGUUUUGGUUGCUAAUACUUUUGGCCACUAUUGUGGCCUUAACAAUUUUAAUAUUGCUAUUGUGCUGCAUUUGUUCGUGCUGUCCUCUAUAUGGAGCUACAAGCAAAAGAAUAGUUAAUAUCAGUAGAACUGAAGACGAUGUUCAUCUAGUUCGUAGGGAAAUGGCAAAUGGAAAACAAACAAAAUCUGUUCAGGUCGCCGAGUGGAUGGGCAGACGCGAGGCCUGGUCCGCGGACAAACCGACCGAUCCACGAACGAAGCCUACCCGUUGGGAGUUCCACAAUGGCCGUGAACAGUUUGACGAAAACAUAGGUGGUGGCGCCGGUGUGCAUGCUACCACUUCAGUCGGUCUGAGCAAGAACAACCAGCCAGACUCCGAUGGAAGACGUCGAAUACGUUCAGCCGACGAGCAGCAAAGACGAGUUAAAAUAAAAAAUUCUCGUGCAGCCAAAGAGGAUACUCAUCUUAGUUUUCAUAAUUCUAGAACUAAUUUGAUCAACGAUCGCGAUAUUUAUAUUGAGGAUGUUAUCGAUGAGCAGCAACUAGUUGACGAAGAAGAGGAAAGUUUUCGGCGUUCCAAACGCAAUAACCAGCAAAUGAUGCAACAACAACAGCAAGAACGACAUCAGAUUGAUGAUGAUUCCAUGCGGCGUCAUGAAAUCGAUCGUGGCAGCGAUAUUGAUUACAAUACCACUCGCAACAGUUUAAGAAAUAAACGAGAAUUUUUCAUUAAGGAUGGGAACAUAGAGAUACUACAAUUAAUGACACGCGAUAAGACUCGUGAAGAUGCUCCUGCUGAAGAAGAUAACAUCUAUAUGAAUGUUCCAUUAAAAUCUACAAAUCUCUCUCAUCCACAGCUCUUAAUGGUCGAUAAUAGCGGGAAGGAAAUUUUGAUGCGUCGCUUUAUUGAAGAACAACCGGAUGGUAAGCAGAUAAUACGUGAGCAUUAUCAAAUCGUACCAGGAGCUACGUACAUACAAACAAUGCCUAAUGAAAUCCCACAAAAUUCCACCUUGAAAGGCGAUACCUUUCCUUUAGGUAAAUCCGGGCCAAAUAGUGUUGUCUACUCUCAAACUGAGCCCGAGGUUAAAGUUAUACACACACAACCAGCCCAGGGAUCGACAGCUAUGGUGCAGACCAAUAGUCUAGGGAAUGUAACAAUGCAACCGGCCAUUUCAAAUCAAUCAUUAACUCAGGAAUUGGAAAAUUCUCUAAAACAACAAAACGAACUGCUACGUCAGAUUUUACUAGAGAAAGAGAAGUUGGAAACUCGAUACCUUCAGCAUGAAGUAGCUCUUGAAACACAAAGUCUACCAGGGCAAGCUAUGGCAAUAGCGACGCAAACAGAUUGUGAAGCGGGUACACAAACUGAAUUUACCAACGGUUUCGCGUCACGCAAUGGUGUCGGUUCAAAAAGUUUUUCGGUUAGACGUCGAGCUCGUAGCGAAAAUGAUGAUUCUGCAUCUGAAGGGGAUGAUGAUUACGAAUAUAUACGCUUAAGUUCACCUAACAGCCCGGAUGGCAUUGUUUAUUACAUUAAACGUAACAAGCCCAGAAGACGCAGUAAAUUUCGCAGUAGCAUGCAACCGCGUAAACGUAUUGUUAUGGUGGAAGAAGUAAAACGAAAAAUACGCACUCCCAUUAAGGAAGAAGAUGAUGAAGAAUAUCAUAAAGCUCGCAAACGAAUCGUACCUAAGAAACCUCCACGUAACAAUGGGGAAACAAAAACAAGUAUUCUAAGGCGACUCAAAACGGAGGAAAAUCGCAGAAGAGAAAUAUGUGCGCAACCCAGUGAACCACUUAAUCGCAAUAUACUUAUGGAGAUUUCUGAUUCUUUGGAUGAACCACUCAGCCCUGCUCGUAGAAAAAUUGAAAUACAACAAGUUCAAUAUGUGGAAUCGUCCGAAGAUGAAGAUAACGCUGAUGUUGUCGGUAAAGAAGAAGAGGGCGAUGCUGAAUAUUCAAAUGAAUCGGAUACCGGAGAAAUAAUGAUUAAAACCAAUAUGUUUACAACUAGUCAAAGAGAUAAAGAGAAAUACGAGCAACCGAGAAAAUCAACCAAAGAUCAGCAUCAUUUCGAAAUCCAUGUAGAAGAUAGCAAAAAUAGUAUGCGGCCAGAAGCAAGACCCAGACUUUCGCGAUCAGAUAGCUGUCAUCUUAAUAACAGUAAACAUGGUAAACAUAACAACACGGAGCCGAUAAAAAAUCGCGUAUCCAUUACCAAAUAUCAUACGGAUGAAGGCAGCGGUACUCAUAUUACGACAACCGAAGUUUGUGACAAUCGUAUAAGCCACAGCGAAGCUGAAUUAUUAGAGCGUGACGAAGCAGCUUUUAGCCGAACAAGAACUGGCAGGAACUCUAAAUACAUGAAUUGGUAUUAUGAUAAAAAGAAACCGCCUUUAGCUGCGGAAAAUUCUAACAAACCACCACAACAACCAAUUAGAAAGAAAACACUGGGUGAAAAGAAACUUAGCAAGACACGUUUACAUAUUAAGCAUGUAGAAAGCGUACAACAUGAAGGGAAAUUCAAACCUGAACCUGCGCCUAGAAAAUCACCAUCCAAAGGCAAUCGUUUGCUUAAGGAAGACAUUGCGAAAAAUAAACAAUUAAAAUCACGGGGAGAAACCGAAACCAGUCACCCUUUAGUGCAGCAUUCAGAGCAUCGCUUCGAACGAGAAAAUGUCCCAGAAGUGCCUAUACAUCCCACCAAAUUACCCCAUUACAUGUAUCCAGAAACACCACCUUUUGGCGCUCAUAGCAAAGAACUCGUUCAACAAAACGCCAAACCAAAACCUUCCCCGAUUAAAGAGAACGAAGUGAAAACUAAAAAUAAUUCUAAAAUAAAUCUGUAUAUAGAAGAUGCACACUGCAGUCAAUUGCCAGCAAGUGCAGCGACGACUACGACCGUACAAAAACAAUUAAACGCUGCCACUUUGGAAGACGAUCAUGACUCGGGUAUUGCUAUGAGCUCUUUGCUUACUAACAUGGGCCGGCGCAAUCCAAUAGCAGAAAAAAAAAGCGUUUUUUCAAUUGCCUACGACGACGUUAGUCGGGUAAAAAAAAUUACUUCAAGCGGUGAAUCGCCGCCAUACUCCUAGGGUCCAAACAAACACGAUAAUGAUAUAUAAUAAUGAUGAUAAUGUGAAAAUCAUGCUUGUAUAAAGUUAUAUUGUAAUUGUGAUAAAUCCUAUAGUCCUUUGUAAACUGGUAGGUAUAUAACAUAUUUGAAAAGAAAACGUUGUCACAUUUUUUUUGUAUAUAAGUAAAUAGAAAAAGAUAUCCAUUUUUUAAAUAACAAAAAAAGAAUCAACACAUAUUCGCAACUAGUUACGAUGCAUCGUCCCUCUUGUGAAUAUUAAGAUUCUACAUUAAGUUCGGAUAAAUUUAAAUCUAGACUAUAUAUUUUUAAUUUAAUUUAAUUCAUUCAUAUUUUUAAGAUUUUCACUUUCAUUCCGCAAUCGAACCAGAGUCUUCGCUCUCUGACGGUGUGUGUAUAUAGUAGAGAAAAGUAUUCCUAUUAUUGUUUAAAAUUUAUUGUAACCUAAUAAUAGUAAUAAUAAAAAAAAGAGAAAACCGAUUGUUUAUCUACUCAUCAACCAACGAUCGACCAAGAUUCCAUGUACAGUGAAGAUGUAUUUAAAAAAACUUCGUUGUUAGUUAAUUAAAUUUUAAUACUCGUUAAGAAUGCUUGUGCGUAUAUUAUUGGGCAUUGUAUUUCAAUUUUUGUUUCUCUUUUUUUUCCCUUUUAUUCCCUAUUUCUAGUAAAUAUUAACAUAAUAAUAAUAAUAAUAUACUUACACAUACACGUUGACACAGUUGGUAUCAGUUGCUAUGAUUAAAUUAAAGCCUUCGAUCAUUGUAUGAAAAUCCGUAUAACUGCCAUAUAAAUAAAGUGUAAAAAAAAACAAGUGCGAAAAAGGAAGUAAAUCAUAUAGAUAAACAAAAGAAAUUGCAAUUCGUUUGCAUUGGAUACGUGUGCGUUCGUGUAAGAAGAACUUAUAACUUUUUUAAUACUUUUAUGAAAAGGCAACUAAAAAUUUUAUCUAACAGUCUGUAAAUAAUUAGUUAAAUAUUUUUAUUUGUGUGCGUGUGUGCUGUUAUUAUGUAUUUUCUAUUAUCUAACAGUACGUUUAAAAAAUAUUUAUAAAAGCAUAUUACUGUUGUCAUUGCUAGUUAUUGUUGCGAGCGGAAGGUUGUGCGGAUUUUGAAAAGCGGCAAACACCAAAUUAGAAAAAGAGAGAUUACUCUGUUGUCCAAAUUCUUGUGUAUUGAAUUGAUUGGAGGCUAAUUUACGUCGCGUUUGGAGUAAUUUGAUUUGAAGUUAACUUUUGUCCGGAGAAAAUUAAAAUUUUUUGUUGUGUAAACCUCACACAAUAUAUAGCGGAGAACCUUAAAAAUGUGCAAAUGUCUGGCCGGAAGUAUAGUUUGCUGCUGUUGCCGAUGCGCUGUUUGCUUAUUAGUAUCGCUUCUUAGCAGUGCCUUCGUGUUGCUCGUUAUUGUAGGAGUAGUCAUUUACUUUGUCUACUUUUAUGACGGAGAUCAUAGUAAAGAUAUAGAGAACACUCUAAUGAAAGCUAAAGAAAAAUUUGAAGAAACUAAAAAUAUACUUCAACAUUAAACGUUGAAAUCCAAAGAUUACAACAAGGACUUAUUGGGUGUGAAAAAUCGAAAAAUAUUUAAAUAAUAGUAUUUAAAAUUAUAGUAUUUAACUCUAUUGCUCUUUUAGUAGAUAAGUGUGGCCUUACGUGUUUUUCUUAUUCAAUAGAUUUCACACGUUUGUUUUAUAUUUUAGCAAAUGUAAAUUCUGUAUAUUAUCGUCGUUCUUUUUUAUUGUAUUUUUGAUAAAAACAAACUGCGGUAACGUUUAAAGGCUAUAAACCAUAGUAUCAUUUACUGGAUUUUACAAAGAUCAGCAAAAUCUCAUCUAAAAAAUAAUUUAUAACUGAAUGUUGUCUCACAAGUGCAUGCCGAUCCAAUAGUUAACAAAAUAUAUAAAAGUUUAAACAUUUUUUUAUACGUGUUUUAUUAUUAAAUAAAU